rnacentral:rRNA from 1 species
UACGUAGGGUGCAAACGUUGCUCGGAAUUAUUGGGCGUAAAGCGCACGUAGGCGGCUUUUCAAGUCGGAUGUGAAAUCCCUCGGCUUAACCAAGGAAGUGCAUCCGAAACUGGAAGGCUUGAGUACUUAAGAGGAUCGCGGAAUUCCCGGUGUAGAGGUGAAAUUCGUAGAUAUCGGGAGGAACACCAGUGGCGAAGGCGGCGAUCUGGGAAGAUACUGACGCUGAGGUGCGAAAGCGUGGGGAGCAAACAGG